rnacentral:lncRNA from 1 species
AGAGGCAUCGUGUUUGAAAUGUGUAAGGCACAAUGUACCCGCUGUGGAUCAACACAACCUCAAGGACAGACAGACACACCGAGGGUCAGCAGAUAUCAGUGGGGACAAGUGUUGAUGACUAUGCAGAUGAGAGUCAUGAAGGAAAGUUAAAUGAUGACCAAAGACUAAGUACCUUCCCCACAAUGCUUUGAUAAGUGCUUUUAAUGCACCCUGGAAUUUAGACACCACCCGGGGAGAAAAGGAAAGGGAGAAAAGCAUGAAUUGUCUGAGAAAUCCCUGAAUUAAUCAUGUAUACCCCAAUGCAACAGGGAUCUAGAUAUAGAAUAAUUUUAAUUGUAGAAAACAAAAUUAUAUUUUACCCACCCCUAUUUGAUGCCCAUGAAUUUCACAUCUAGCUUACAUGCACAUAAAAUUCAAGCUUAGAUAGGUGGAAAACAGAAAAUUAAGAAGUAAUAUUUGCCUUCUAAUAACUUAUCUAUUGGAGGAAGUAAAAGAUAGAAAAGUAGUUCAGAUGGCAAAUACUAAAAGAGUUAGGAACUUCUGCUUCCACUUAUGAUGAAGGAACUUCUCAAUCUGUCCACUGUGUAAUAUUCCUUGAGCUGCUGUAAUAAAGUACCACAAACUGGGUAACUUAAAACAACAGAAUUUAUUGUCUCAUGGUUCUGGAGCCUAGAAUUCUAAAAUCAAGGUAUCAACAGAGCUAUGCUCCCUCUGAAACCUGGAAGGAAAUUCUUCCUUGCCUAUUCCUAGUUUCUGGUGAUUUGCUGGCAAUUUUUGACAUUCCUUAGCUUGCAGCUACAUAACUUUAAACUGUCUUUGGCAUUACAUGGCAUUUUCCCUGCGUGUUUCUGUCUUCCCACAGCUGUCAUCUUACAAGCACAUCAGUCAUAUUAGGAGUCCACAGUACUCCAGUAUGACCUCAUCUUAACUAGUCACACUCGCAAUGACCCUAUUUUCAAACAGAGUCACAUUGUGAGGUACUGAGGGUUGGGAUGUCAACAUAUCUUUUACUGGGGUGGUGGGGGGGUGGCAGGUAUAAUUCAAUCCAUUAUACCCUCCAAUAAUAAACACCUAGAAAACUGGGCAAUAUACAUGAGAUAAUUGUUUUCUAAUAUUGGACAAUAGAUGGCACAAGACUGUGACCCAUAAGAGAAAGGAAACAAACGAGCUGCAUGCUAUGAUCAUUUCUGUUUUCUACCCAGAAUUUCCUGGGUUGCUGUGCACACAAGAGGGACCCAAGCAGAGCACAGCACCCUGAAAUUCUUACUGAGCUGCGGACACAGCUUAGAGAAGAGGAGGCCAUGCACGGAAAGAGCCCCACAAUUUUCAUGCAGUCUCAUUGAAUCUUUGGGUAAAUACUAAGCUGGCAUCCAUUGGGUGAAACUCCACAGGGGCAGGCAAAGAAUAAAUACUGGGGAAUUAACAACUGCUGGUGAACUACAGUAUGAAUAAUUACUAGAUCUUGGUCAAGGCCGAGAGAGAGACAGCUCUGAGCAAUCAGAAUAGCUUUGUUGAAUACCUGGAAUAUUUAACAGGUAUCCUAGGAAGCCCAUAACUUAGAGUAGGACUCAAAUGACAUAGAAUAAGUCUACCAUCCAUUAACCCUAACAAAGCUUAGAAGAGCCCUUGAAAGGAAAAGCAGACAAGUUGACCUACAAGCAAGUCAACUGCCCACUAGAAUAAAGCUCAACACUCUUUGAGAGAAGAAAACAAAAUUCAGACAAUAACAAAGUAACAUUCAUAAUGUUGAGCAUCCAGUGAGAAAUUAUGGGAUAUACUUAGAAGCUGGAAAAUGUGUCUAUACUAAGUAGUAAUAUUAGGCAAUUGAAAUCAACCCAGAAAUGACAGAGAUGGUGAAUCAAAAUAAUGGGACUUAUAAAUAGCUAUUAUAUUAAAAUGGCUAUUAUUAAAUAUGUUCAAGGAUUUAUAGUAAAACACCACAUAAUGAAGAAAGAAAGAGAAACUAUAAAAAAGCUAAGUAGAACUUCUAGAUCUGAAAAAUAUCUGAAAUGAAAAUUUUGCUAGAUAAGCUUAAAUUGGAGUAGACACUAUGGGAUAAAUGUCUAUGCACAUGAAAUCAGGACAACAGAAACUCAAAACGAGAGAGGGGAAAAUAAUGCUAAACAACUACAAAAACUGGAAGAGGUCUCAGGGAACUCUCAAACAAUAUCAAGUCACCUAGCGCACAUAUCACUGGAGUCUUCAAUAUAAAGGAGAGAAAGUGGUGGCAGAAAACAAUUAUUUUUAAAAUAGUGGCCAAAAUGUUUCAUACAUGAUAAAUAAUAUCCACCUACAGAUCCAGGAAGCUUAGCAAAACCCAAACAGAAUAAGCCCAUACAAGUUUGUUUAUGAAAGAGAUUACUUACAGGUACGAGGCUCAGUGUAACUUUCACAUAAGAGACGGACUGUGAGAUGGUCCUUGAGAAGGCAUAGGGUUUUAGACUGAUAAAAAUGACAUUAAAAGGCAAGAAAGGAUGAAUGGUGCAGAAAUGACCAAAGGUACAGAGACUGAAAGUACAGGACAUCAGUGAAGAAUAAUAAGAAGACGAACCUAAAGGGAGAGGAAGAGAAUGCAUGAAGAUAGGUUACAGUAAAAUUUCCUAAAGCUUAACAUGUCCGUGUCUGAGGGAAUUCUAUGAUGGAGUAACAGAGGCUGAAUUUACCCUCAAACCUGAAACAAUUAAAAUGCAUGAAAUAUAUGAAACACUGGACAACAGAUGGCUCAAGACCGUGAUCCUUGAGAGAAGUGAAAUGAAUAAAGUGAACUCUGUGAUGGCCCCAGUUUAUAGCCUUUUUCAGGCAGUAUUACAGGGAGGAGAAGCCCAAACAGCAUCUGGCAGGCUUUCUGAGUUAAGGAGACUUGUAUUCAGGGUUUGAGGAGGCCGAAAUGCCUAAAAUUCCAGGGAAGAGACCCAGGGAGGAGAAAGUGGUAGGUGGGAAGAGCUCUGGAAUGUGCAUCGGACUCCCAGUGACUCUUCAACUGCUCUGACCAGUGCAUACAAGAAAACAACCUGAGGCCAGGGAAAGACCACUUGAUGGAUCAAGCAGAACCAUCUCAAAGUCCACAAGGUACCAGGAACAGAUGGUGUUUCCAUCAACCAGCGUGGGAGACCUCCUAACACAGAGGGCCUUGAGGAGAAUUCUCAGAAGCGGAUCACCCCAGUACGGAGGGCGGGAGGGCCAAUUUGCUGUACACUAAAGGUUGUCCUAGAUACAACUUACAAAGCUUCAAAACAAGACUCAGAAAUAUCAAAUUGUUUCUAUGUAAUCUAUCUGCAUCACAAAAUAAAGUCUCAAAUUUCUUUAAGGGAUACAAAUACUCCAGUAGCUAGAAACAUCAAAUUCAAAUAUCUGAUACCCGAUUUUAAAAAGCCAUAUAUGCAAAGAAACAGAAAAAUAUGGGUCAUAAGGAGGAGAAAAACACUCAACAGAAACAGAUCCAGAAAUGAUACACAUGAUGGAGUUAGCAGACAAGGCUAUUAAAUAUAUAUUCAAUAUGUUCGGCAGGAUAGAAGAGAGUGUACCUAUGUUAAGAAGAGACAUGGAAAAUUUGAAAAAGACUGAAAUAAAACUUCUUCCAAUGCAAAAUACAAUGAACGUGAUUUUAUAAUAUACUGGAUGGGAUUAACAGCAGAUUAGGUAUCUCAGAUCGAACUUAAAGAUGAGGUAAUAGAAAUCAUCUAGGAUGAAAACAGAAAGAAACUGACUUAAAAAAAGUGAGCAGAGCAUCAGUGAGCUAUAGAACAGCAUUAAGUAGCCUAAUAUUGAGAGUCCUAUGAAACUGGAGGACUAAUGCAGAAAAAA